AUACUAUCAAUAGGAAAGCUUCAUCCUCUGAAAUUGCAGUUCUAUUUCAAUAAUAUUUUCCUUUAUGGAUAGAAAUGAAAAGGAAAGAUGUCUGUGGGAAAGUAUUUAUAAUGUAACCGGUUACAAGGCAUCAGGAGUUUAUUUCCUGCUAAACUAUUUUUUCUUUACAGUACAUAUACGGUUGUAAGCUUGAUACUGAGAGAUGGUAUCUCAUCCUUCUUAAGGGUUCUUCCAAGGGAUGGAGUAUUCCUGUUCUUGCAGUGCUGAAGGGAAGAUUCCUAUGUAAAUAAUCUAGAAUUGACUAUAUGGUAUGCAAGUCAUUCAGAUUUUUCUACCUGAAAAAAUGGCUACAUCUUGGGCUGAAGUUGAAAGUCAGCAGUAUGCCUUCUGAAUUUCUAGCAAUCCAUAUCAUUGCAACCUCUACAAUGACUUGGCUGUCAUAUGUUUAAAAUAACUCUAAUCAGGUUUGAUAUGCUUAAUUGAGAACAAAUUUGAAUUUCACAAGCUUGUGGUUGAAUGUGGCAGGUAUUCCCCUUGCUUAUUGA
rnacentral:misc_RNA from 1 species